UACGUAGGGUGCACGCGUUGUCCGGCAUUAUUGGGCGUAAAGCGCGCGCAGGCGGUCGAUUAAGUCUGGUGUAUAAACCAAGGGCUCAACCUUUGGACGCAUUGGAAACUGGUCGACUGGAGUGUAGGAGAGGAAAGUGGAAUUCCACGUGUAGCGGUGAAAUGCGUAGAGAUGUGGAGGAACACCAGUGGCGAAGGCGACUUUCUGGCCUAUAACUGACGCUGAGGCGCGAAAGCGUGGGUAGCGAAUGGG
rnacentral:rRNA from 1 species